AUCGUAACAAGGUUUCCGUAGGUGAACCUGCGGAAGGAUCAUUCAUAAUAAGUGUUUUAUGGCACUUUUUAAAUCCAUAUCCACCUUGUGUGCAAUGUCAGUCGAUCUUCAUGGAGAUCGACCAAACAUCAACCUAAGUUUUAACUCUUUGUCUGAAAAAUAUUAUGAAUAAACAAUUCAAAAUACAACUUUCAACAACGGAUCUCUUGGCUCUCGCAUCGAUGAAGAACGCAGCGAAAUGCGAUACGUAAUGUGAAUUGCAGAAUUCAGUGAAUCAUCGAAUCUUUGAACGCAUAUUGCGCUCUUUGGUAUUCCGAAGAGCAUGCUUGUUUGAGUAUCAGUAAACACCUCAAAGCUCUUAAUUUUUUGAGAGUUUUGGACUUGAGCAAACCCAACACCAGUCUAUUUCAGAUCGGCGGCGGGUUGCUUGAAAUGCAGGUGCAGCUGGACAUUCUCCUGAGCUAAAAGCAUAUUUAUUUAGUCCCGUCAAAAGGAUUAUUACUUUUGCUGCAGCUAAUAUAAAGGGAGUUUGACCGUAUUGGCUGACUGAUGCAGGAUUUCACAAAGGUCGGCAACG
rnacentral:rRNA from 1 species